rnacentral:rRNA from 1 species
AGGACGAACGCUGGCGGCGUGCUUAACACAUGCAAGUCGAGCGGUAAGGCCUUUCGGGGUACACGAGCGGCGAACGGGUGAGUAACACGUGGGUGAUCUGCCCUGCACUUCGGGAUAAGCCUGGGAAACUGGGUCUAAUACCGGAUAUGACCUCCUAUCGCAUGGUGGGUGGUGGAAAGAUUUAUCGGUGCAGGAUGGGCCCGCGGCCUAUCAGCUUGUUGGUGGGGUAAUGGCCUACCAAGGCGACGACGGGUAGCCGACCUGAGAGGGUGACCGGCCACACUGGGACUGAGACACGGCCCAGACUCCUACGGGAGGCAGCAGUGGGGAAUAUUGCACAAUGGGCGAAAGCCUGAUGCAGCGACGCCGCGUGAGGAUGACGGCCUUCGGGUUGUAAACCUCUUUCAGCACAGACGUAAGUUUUGUCUUUUUGGUGUAAGUGACGGUAUGUGCAGAAGAAGGACCGCAACUACGUGCCAGCAGCCGC